GGUUCCUACUAUUUUACAGGUGGAGAAACUGAGGUACUUAGAGAUUAAGGAAUUGCCCCAGGAUGCACAGCAACAGCAGAACCAGAAUUCACACCUGGACCACGUAGCUACAGAGCUUCUGGUCUCUUGUAACACCCUCCCACCGCCAUCUUGUGACCCUGUUACGGGGCAGCGUGUGUGCUUGGUGGGGAUAAUUUAAUCACUUGUGAGAGCAUUUACCAUUCUAAGGUGGGACAAAUACUAUCCCUGUUUCUCAGCUGUAGAAACUGGAAUGCUGAAAGGUUAAGCAACGUUCACGAAGUUCCACAGUAGCAGUGUGCUUGUCAUAUUCGUGAUGUGGCCAGUCUGGAAGACUGCAGGGCACUCCUGGGCACUCAAGUGCCACGACCACCAGCUAGCUUCCAGUGGACUCAGAAUAAGUCACUCUGCUGAGCUUUAGAUUAGGAAAGAGCAGCAGGUGACACCUACCAACGUAAAAUAAUAACUAAGAACGGCCUUUUUUAAAAAAGCAAUUAAAAGUCAUAAUUUUUUUAAAAGGGAGGGUAUGAUGGGCAUAGCAUCUCAUUAAAAAACUUACAUAUAGUAAUAAUUUCCUCUAAACUCUCAUGUGUCCCUUUUUCCAGAUGAUGAAAUGUCCUAUAUAGGAUAAAUUCUCCUUAUUUGUGGCAUUUCCGUCCAAUAACAUUGCCAAGAAUACUAAUCCAUUGCUCCUAGGGAGAAUACAAGGUUAGGUUCCUACAAGCUUCAUUGCAUUUUCAUCAACCAAUUAAUAUAUACCCUUGUUUUUUGGUAUGUUUC